ACGGAAGGCAGCAGUGGGGAAUAUUGCACAAUGGGCGAAAGCCUGAUGCAGCGACGCCGCGUGAGUGAAGAAGUAUUUCGGUAUGUAAAGCUCUAUCAGCAGGGAAGAAAAAUGACGGUACCUGACUAAGAAGCACCGGCUAAAUACGUGCCAGCAGCCGCGGUAAUACGUAUGGUGCAAGCGUUAUCCGGAUUUACUGGGUGUAAAGGGAGCGCAGGCGGUACGGCAAGUCUGAUGUGAAAGCCCGGGGCUUAACCCCGGUACUGCAUUGGAAACUGUCGAACUAGAGUGUCGGAGGGGUAAGCGGAAUUCCUAGUGUAGCGGUGAAAUGCGUAGAUAUUAGGAGGAACACCAGUGGCGAAGGCGGCUUACUGGACGAUAACUGACGCUGAGGCUCGAAAGCGUGGGGAGCAAACAGGAUUAGAUACCCUGGUA
rnacentral:rRNA from 1 species